UACAUGGGGUGCAAACGUUGCUCGGAAUCAUUGGGCGUAAAGCGCGCGUAGGCGGUUACUUAAGUCGAAUGUGAAAGCCCUCGGCUUAACCGAGGAAGUGCAUCCGAAACUGAGUAGCUAGAGUACGAAAGAGGGUCGCGGAAUUCCCGGUGUAGAGGUGAAAUUCGUAGAUAUCGGGAGGAACACCGGUGGCGAAGGCGGCGACCUGGGUCGAGACUGACGCUGAGGCGCGAAAGCUAGGGGAGCAAACGGG
rnacentral:rRNA from 1 species